AGUCGAGCGAGUCUGCCUUGAAGAUCGGAGUGCUUGCACUCUGUGAAACAAGAUACAGGCUAGCGGCGGACGGGUGAGUAACACGUGGGUAACCUGCCCAAGAGAUCGGGAUAACACCUGGAAACAGAUGCUAAUACCGGAUAACAACAGAUGAUGCCUAUCAACUGUUUAAAAGAUGGUUCUGCUAUCACUCUUGGAUGGACCUGCGGUGCAUUAGCUAGUUGGUAGGGUAACGGCCUACCAAGGCGAUGAUGCAUAGCCGAGUUGAGAGACUGAUCGGCCACAUUGGGACUGAGACACGGCCCAAACUCCUACGGGAGGCAGCAGUAGGGAAUCUUCCACAAUGGACGCAAGUCUGAUGGAGCAACGCCGCGUGAGUGAAGAAGGGCUUCGGCUCGUAAAGCUCUGUUGUUGGUGAAGAAGGACAGGGGUAGUAACUGACCUUUGUUUGACGGUAAUCAAUUAGAAAGUCACGGCUGACUACGUGCCAGCAGCCGCGGUAAUACGUAGGUGGCAAGCGUUGUCCGGAUUUAUUGGGCGUAAAGCGAGUGCAGGCGGCUCGAUAAGUCUGAUGUGAAAGCCUUCGGCUCAACCGGAGAAUUGCAUCAGAAACUGUCGAGCUUGAGUACAGAAGAGGAGAGUGGAACUCCAUGUGUAGCGGUGAAAUGCGUAGAUAUAUGGAAGAACACCGGUGGCGAAGGCGGCUCUCUGGUCUGUUACUGACGCUGAGGCCCGAAAGCAUGGGUAGCGAACAGGAUUAGAUACCCUGGUAGUCCAUGCCGUAAACGAUGAGUGCUAAGUGUUGGGAGGUUUCCGCCUCUCAGUGCUGCAGCUAACGCAUUAAGCACUCCGCCU
rnacentral:rRNA from 1 species